rnacentral:rRNA from 1 species
AUGGACAGGCCACCGGUGAGCCGUCCCUCCUUCCCCGCCGGCAACCGCUACGCCGCCGUGGAUGGAUAUGGCGGGGGCUACGGCCACCGCCUCGCUUCUUCACGGGGCCAGCCCGGAGCUCCCUACGGUGUCGCCGCACCCGCACAGGUUCGUCCCCUCGCCUCGCCGCACGGGCUCGGCCCGCCGUCCCGGCCUCUCGUCGCGGGAGACUUCAGCGGCAAAGGCGAUGGUCUACUGGGCCCCGGUCCCGGCCCCGUCCUCUACCGCCCCGGCAACGCCAGCAGCCGCCCCUUCCUCCCCCUCAACGACUACGCCAGCGACCCAAGCAGCGGCAACUCCAGCAGCCGCCCCUUCCUCCCCCUCAACAACUACGCCAGCGACCCAAGCAGCGGCAACUCCAGCAGCGGCUCCUUCCUCCACCUCAACAACUACACUGGGAACUCAGGCACGGCAGCCAGCACGCCCUUCCCCCCCGUCGAGCAUACCGGAGCCUUCGACGGUUCGGGAGUGGUCACCAUUGACCUCGAGAAUUCUGUGCAAGUCUUCAACACCAUCAAGCGCAAGGUGCAGAAGAGGAGCGGCCACCUCUACAUCGGCCUUGACCUCGAGUACUGCGCAAGCUCCGCCACUGACCUGGACCAUCGCCCGUUCUGCCCCAACGACUGGUAUGAGUACCUGAAGAAGUAUGUCAACGAAGGUGCGCUUGUCCAAAUUGGUCCUGCUCUAGCGUUCGAGGGUCCGGUACCAUCUCCUGUGGAGGCAUACCAGGUGAAUGUGCAUAUUGAUGUCCAAUCCGGUGGAUAUCACCCAUCUGCAGUCGAUUUCCUGGAGAGCCAGGGGCACAAGUUGGCAGAGUAUAGGGACAGGGGCGUGAUGCCAGAGUGGCUAUUUGCAGAUGUGCUUAGCCACUUGCCCUUCGGUGAUGAUUCUGUAACCUGGAUCACCUUUCAUGGAGACAGGGAUGUGGGGUUCCUUCUCAGGUUGCUUAUUGCCGGAGGCAGAGGAACAUUGCCCUCAGACAAGCUCACAUUUCUACAUGUGUUUCGUGACAAAUUUCCAUUGUUCUACGAUGUCAAGGUGCUUGCUCAGCUAGUGCAGCCAAGGUUUGCUGGCAAGCUAACCAAGUUGACAAAGUUGCUUGGUGUACAGAGGCAAGGAGAGGAACACUUUGCAGGGUCCGACGCUCUGCUGACACUUGGCUACUUCAACAAGAUUGUGGAGAUCUCGGCCAAGACUAACAUAGUGUCCAGAAUGGGUUUGCUAUCUGGUCUGGAGGAGCUAGAGCUUUCCAUGACUUGCGGGAAAUCAGUGAACGAUUCUGGCAUCAAUGUCUUAAAGGUUACGGCGCAUAACUACGAUGAGGAGGCAGCACGGAUCUCUGACCUUGUGGGGAACAAUUUUCAGUUCGUCGCAAUGCAGGUACUCUUACCAGCGUCUCAAGACAUCCUAGGUACCUCUGCUGGAGCUCAGUCCAGCUAUGAGAGAGUGAAGAAAGUGCUGGAUAGUGUUGACAGGUUUGAUCUGCUCAUAGCGUUCAUGAACGCUGAAGGGGUCUUGGGGCAUGGGCGGGUGUGGCAAUUCAGCUUCAAUCUGAGGCUGGAUGGUGCUGAUCAAGAUGCAUACGUGUGUCCCCGUCGGCUGGCUUGCGUUUUAGCUUCUUCUGGAGUGACCCACCGCCCCAAUACGGUCUGGGUCACAGUACAUGGGGCGUAUGGCAUUGCCUGCCUUCUCAAGGCUUUUCUUUCCCCAGUUGACCUUCCUCACGCCUACAGAGAUUUUAUCAUCAGCCGUGCUGCUUGUUUUCCAUGCCUUUAUGACAUUGGCUUGCUUGCCAAUUCAGCACGAGACUUGGCGCUUCUGCCUACAGGAUGUAACGGUGGACUGGGCCACAUAUCCAGUGCGCUUGGUGUCCUCGAGGAUCCCUGUGAGGUGGUAACUCUCCUACGAACCUUCAAUGCAUUCCAAGCAAGACCAGAUUUCCAGAGCUUUGUGCCCGGUGGGCUCAUGGAGCGAUGCUGCCCUGCAUGCCUGAACAUGCAGUGA